GACGGAGGAUGCAAGUGUUAUCCGGAAUCACUGGGCGUAAAGCGUCUGUAGGUGGUCAAAUAAGUCAACUGUUAAAUCUUGAGGCUUAACCUCAAAAUCGCAGUCGAAACUAUUAGGCUAGAGUAUAGUAGGGGUAAAGGGAAUUUCCAGUGGAGCGGUGAAAUGCGUAGAGAUUGGAAAGAACACCGAUGGCGAAGGCACUUUACUGGGCUAUUACUAACACUCAGAGACGAAAGCUAGGGUAGCAAAUGGG
rnacentral:rRNA from 1 species